rnacentral:rRNA from 1 species
UACGGGGGAUCCAAGCGUUAUCCGGAAUUACUGGGCGUAAAGAGUUGCGUAGGUGGCAGAGUAAGUUGGUAGUGAAAGCGUACAGCUCAACUGUAUAUCCAUUACCAAAACUGCUCAGCUUGAGGACGAGAGAGGUAGAUGGAAUUCCUAGUGUAGGGGUAAAAUCCGUUGAUAUUAGGAGGAACACCGAUGGCGUAAGCAGUCUACUGGCUCGUUCCUGACACUCAGGCACGAAAGCGUGGGGAGCAAACGGG